GACUCUUGGCAGUGGAUCACUUGGCUCAUGCGUUGAUGAAGAAGGCAGCUAGCUGUGAGAAUUAACGCGAAUCACAGGACACAUUGGUCAUCAACACUUCGAAUGCAUUUGCAGCCCUGGGUUCCUCCCGGGGCUAUGCCUGCCUGAGCAUUG